UUAAUUUGAGAGUUUGAUCCUGGCUCAGGACGAACGCUGGCGGCGUGCCUAAUACAUGCAAGUCGAACGAGCUCUGGUAUUGAUUGGUGCUUGCAUCAUGAUUUACAUUUGAGUGAGUGGCGAACUGGUGAGUAACACGUGGGAAACCUGCCCAGAAGCGGGGGAUAACACCUGGAAACAGAUGCUAAUACCGCAUAACAACUUGGACCGCAUGGUCCGAGUUUGAAAGAUGGCUUCGGCUAUCACUUUUGGAUGGUCCCGCGGCGUAUUAGCUAGAUGGUGGGGUAACGGCUCACCAUGGCAAUGAUACGUAGCCGACCUGAGAGGGUAAUCGGCCACAUUGGGACUGAGACACGGCCCAAACUCCUACGGGAGGCAGCAGUAGGGAAUCUUCCACAAUGGACGAAAGUCUGAUGGAGCAACGCCGCGUGAGUGAAGAAGGGUUUCGGCUCGUAAAACUCUGUUGUUGAAGAAGAACAUAUCUGAGAGUAACUGUUCAGGUAUUGACGGUAUUUAACCAGAAAGCCACGGCUAACUACGUGCCAGCAGCCGCGGUAAUACGUAGGUGGCAAGCGUUGUCCGGAUUUAUUGGGCGUAAAGCGAGCGCAGGCGGUUUUUUAAGUCUGAUGUGAAAGCCUUCGGCUCAACCGAAGAAGUGCAUCGGAAACUGGGAAACUUGAGUGCAGAAGAGGACAGUGGAACUCCAUGUGUAGCGGUGAAAUGCGUAGAUAUAUGGAAGAACACCAGUGGCGAAGGCGGCUGUCUGGUCUGUAACUGACGCUGAGGCUCGAAAGUAUGGGUAGCAAACAGGAUUAGAUACCCUGGUAGUCCAUACCGUAAACGAUGAAUGCUAAGUGUUGGAGGGUUUCCGCCCUUCAGUGCUGCAGCUAACGCAUUAAGCAUUCCGCCUGGGGAGUACGGCCGCAAGGCUGAAACUCAAAGGAAUUGACGGGGGCCCGCACAAGCGGUGGAGCAUGUGGUUUAAUUCGAAGCUACGCGAAGAACCUUACCAGGUCUUGACAUACUAUGCAAAUCUAAGAGAUUAGACGUUCCCUUCGGGGACAUGGAUACAGGUGGUGCAUGGUUGUCGUCAGCUCGUGUCGUGAGAUGUUGGGUUAAGUCCCGCAACGAGCGCAACCCUUAUUAUCAGUUGCCAGCAUUAAGUUGGGCACUCUGGUGAGACUGCCGGUGACAAACCGGAGGAAGGUGGGGAUGACGUCAAAUCAUCAUGCCCCUUAUGACCUGGGCUACACACGUGCUACAAUGGAUGGUACAACGAGUUGCGAACUCGCGAGAGUAAGCUAAUCUCUUAAAGCCAUUCUCAGUUCGGAUUGUAGGCUGCAACUCGCCUACAUGAAGUCGGAAUCGCUAGUAAUCGCGGAUCAGCAUGCCGCGGUGAAUACGUUCCCGGGCCUUGUACACACCGCCCGUCACACCAUGAGAGUUUGUAACACCCAAAGUCGGUGGGGUAACCUUUUAGGAACCAGCCGCCUAAGGUGGGACAGAUGAUUAGGGUGAAGUCGUAACAAGGUAGCCGUAGGAGAACCUGCGGCUGGAUCACCUCCUUUCUAAGGAA
rnacentral:rRNA from 1 species